rnacentral:rRNA from 1 species
GGAGCUCGAAAGGGUUGCAGUGAAAAGGUGGCUGCGACUGUUUAUUAAAAACACAGCACUCUGCAAACACGAAAGUGGACGUAUAGGGUGUGACGCCUGCCCGGUGCUGGAAGAUUAAAUGAUGGGGUGCAAGCUCUUGACUGAAGUCCCAGUAAACGGCGGCCGUAACUAUAACGGUCCUAAGGUAGCGAAAUUCCUUGUCGGGUAAGUUCCGACCCGCACGAAUGGCGUAACGAUGGCCACACUGUCUCCUCCUGAGACUCAGCGAAGUUGAAAAUGUUUGUGAAGAUGCAAUCUCCCCGCUGCUAGACGGAAAGACCCCGUGAACCUUUACUGUAGCUUUGCAUUGGACUUUGAACAGACUUGUGUAGGAUAGGUGGGAGGCUUUGAAGUGGGAACGCCAGUUCUCAUGGAGCCGUCCUUGAAAUACCACCCUGGUGUGUUUGAGGUUCUAACCUGGGUCCGUCAUCCGGAUCGGGGACCGUGCAUGGUAGGCAGUUUGACUGGGCGGUCUCCUCCCAAAGUGUAACGGAG